UUUUUUCUUUUUCUUUUCUUUUUUUUUUUUUAUAAGAUUAAGCUCCCUGUGGCUAAGAAUAGCUUCUGUGAUUAUGUGAGCAGCAGCAAAAUGUAAAAAGAGUGUGAAUAAUGUGAAUGUCACUGGAGGCAAAAAUCCCACUCCACCCGUCGCGACACAGUCCACUUUGAUAUGUCUCCGGGUGGCGCUUGGCUAAUUUUGUAUCUUCCUCAGUGGGAUCUCCAGUUGAUGUGACAAAAGGGAUAGCAAAGUGAGAGCAAUCAUUUUGCAUCAAGUAAUGCCUCUGGUACUGUAAACAUGCUGAUAAUCAGAGACUGCCAACCCCAAAGGGCUAUGAGCAUUGGCCAAGCUGGUUGUUUUGUUCCAUAACAGAUGGCUUGUUAUGAAGUACCCCAAGUUUUCAACUGAUGGAUUCUCAUAAGGUAGCUCCUGGUGUAGCCAUGCCUGCUUUGCUCUCUGACUGCUUGGAGAGAGCUACAAAUAAUGUGGGGUUUUUUUUCCCAAAUUAUCUCUCAGGGGCCCUAGCAUCCUGAUAGGUCCUGAUUCUCACCAGUUUCUCAGAACCAGAGUAGGAAACCCAGGACAGGAGGCCUCAAAGGACCAGCUGGAAGGAUAUGAAGAGAAGGCUAACAAAGCCACUCAGCUGUAAUUUGUAGACUCAUCAUUAAGUGCCGUUUUCCAGGGAAGAGAGAGCUGAGAAUGGCUCAAACUGUUGAAACUACAAAUAAACCUUUUAAAACAGAUUCCAGGUGGAAAGAACAAAGUCCUGUGUGCCUGAGUUUGCUGAGAAGCUGUAGUGGAAAUGCUAAGUCAUAGCGUGAACCAGUGAUUGAGCACCUGGUGGGAAGGCAGUACCAAAUCAGGGGAACUCAUGUGUAUGCAAUACACCUGAGUGACUGGAAGGAGUGGAGCCAGGAUCAGCCCCUUCCCAGACUUCGCUUAAGGGUUGGCAGUGCCUCCUUGAAGGGUUCCGAAGUUUCAGCAUGGUCUGCUGGAGUGGGAACAAGUAGGACAAGAAUGCAAGAGAAGUAGCGAUGUACAGAACCAAUAUUAUUGCCAAACACUUGAUGAUAUCAAGAAGAAUCAGCACAACCUGUUCGAUCCUGCUCCAUACCUUACAAGCCCAGAGGCCUCUCUCAUGUACCACCCAGUCAUUUCUUCUGUACCUUGAAGAUACCUGUUCUACUUGCACUAUUCUAUGCUACCUGGGAAGGGCAAAAGCUGUCCUCCUCUAUUCCCAUCCAUGAGGGAACAAUUCCAUGCAUGACUUCUAAGCCAGUGAGGGACUGCCUAUCACAGAGGAUGAUGUUCAGUCUGCUUCCUCCUCUCUUCUGGAGACAAACCCUGCCAGAGAAACCAAAACCUGUACCCUAUUGGCUAAACUUUCACCUAAGCAAAGGGAGAGAUACCCAAAGAUGUCUUCUGCCAGUGCUCAUUAGAACUGAAUCCAAAGUCACCACAUUGUGAUAGUCAUCUUUUACAGGUAUGUAUCGUAUGGUAUUUAUUGGUAUAGAUUGAUGUUUGGACAAGGUAAUCUCAUGGUCUUUUCAACCUUAUUCUAUGAUCUGUGCUGCUCACACCCCUAGGGAUGCUCUGCUCCUGAGUUUGUAGAGAAGAAAGUACUCUCCCUUUUUGGCUUUCACCUUUUAUGCUUGAGCACAGGAUUGUAUCAACAGAUGCGGAUUCUAGUCUGGAAAGCUGCUUGCCACUGACUGCAGGGGACAACUUAAUCUUCAUGUUGACUUUAUUGCUGGGUUUCCUAGAUGGCUGUUUUGCUGCCUGAGCCUGAAGUAGCAAGGGAGAAAGGGGAGCCAAAAGGAGAAAUGAAGUCCCUUGGCUGGAAUUUCAAUCCUCUCUGAUUUUUCUUUACAAAGACUGAACAGGCUUAGAGGAAAGGGCUGCUCAAGACUUGUCAGAGCCUUCCUGAAGGCAAGUGUCUGCAGUGCUACCCUUCCUGGAGGACUAAAUCUGAAUAUCCCAGCAUCAAAAACAGGCUAUUUACCUCUUUAAGGACAUCCCCUUGCUGCACCUUUCCUCUGCUCUCAAUAUCAAGCUUGCCUUUUUCUCUCUCUCUCUCUUCUCUUCGCUUUUCCUGGGUGUCUGAAGUUCUGGACACUGUGUCACUCCCACAGAAAGAGGGUAGAAAAAUACUGUAAGGUUGCAGCUCUGUUGUAGCUUGGCAGCUGCUGGCUCUGCACGUCCAUCUUCCUCCGCUACUCUCUCCCCCACUGUUAGAUUCAAUUUCAUAAAUAAAUACCCCACGUAUUGACGUCAUUAUAGGCCUUGAGAAAUAAUACUCCUGCCGCUUUCUUUGCUAAGCAUGGGGAAUGGAGGAGAGAGGGAGGAGGAACAGAAGCAACAACGUCUUGGAAGAUGAAGACUUAAUAUUCUCCUAAUCACCUCCCUCCCUUUGUGGCUAUGACCCAGCUGUGAAGAAUACAAAGAUUACCAUUAUCAGCGUGCCCUUGUGGCUUGAGAAAGGAUAAUCGAGUAUCAAAAAUUCCUAUUUCAGACUAUUUUUUUUUAGGAGAGAGGAUGAUGGGGACGUACUCUGGAAGGGUACCCUCAACGGUCCCUGUGCUCCUGUCAUGAAAUUAAGAAAUUUGUAUCCAAAAUGAGCUCACAGUUCAUGUUUCUGUGUCUUAAGACACCAGUGAUGUUUCCAGCCAUGUCUCAUUGAAAAUCUCUUUCCCUCGCUUUAUUACUGGAGGUCAAGAGGUUGCUUCUUAGACUAAGCUGUGACAAGUCAAAGCCAAGACCACUGACUUUGUGCCUUUUUUUUCUCAGUUCUAACAUUCCACUGUGGUACUCCUCAAAACUGUGAAAUAAUUUGCAUUUUUGUUUGUUUAUUUUGCUAGAAGAAUGAAAGAUUCCCUUCUCCGUGUCCUUACUCUUUGCCAAGCAAGAGCCUAGCAGGUUAGAAACCUCAGCUUUCAGAUCAGUGUUGGCAGAUACCAGGAGAAGGAAGGGAAAGAGGAUCUUGCAGGGCUCUCUGCAAAAGCUGGCAUGAUUUUGAUGAGCAAGGCAUUCCUUGGGAUGCAUGCAGCUGGGAGUGCAGCAACAAAGGGGGGACAGAAAAGACACCAGAUGUGAAAGUUUCUUAUAGCUGAUUUGCUUUAUUGAUAAUGUAUUACAAGUGGGAAGUGCAAUAGGUGCACAACCUGGGAAGUGUGCAUCUUGUCUAUUGCUGGGUGCAGACAAGUGAUGUUGGUGAUGAAUCAGUGCCUUUCCCAGGCUUCCCCACAGGCAUAUAAAACAUCAGUG